UUAUCUUCCCCAUUCUUCCUUCCUACCUCCUCCUCUGUUGCCACACGCUAGAUCCCCCAUCCACAGCCGGCACUCUCUGGUGGGCGCCCCUCCCAUUCGUCACCAUUGUCGGCGGACACAUAGGCCCAUGCUCUUCCCUGCCCCGCCCCUUCUUCAUAUCCGAUCCCCGAAGUGCUCGAGGAGGCGCUCGAGCUCGGCAUGCACGCCGGCGACACCGGGGCCCUCCCUCCUCCUGAUGCACUCUCCGUCGCCGCCAUGAGCGUCUCCACCUUCUCCCGCGCGCCGUGAAUCCUCCCUCCCCCCUGCUCGAGACGCCAUCAAGGUCCGGUUCCAACUCUUCUUCUCCCCUCGAUCCGGAUGCUCUGCUCUCCGACACCAUCUUUUUGCUUGUUCGAUUCAGUCUGGAGCAGGAGCAGCUGCUGCUCGCGACCUCUAGUUCCUUCUUUCCAUGGAUGUGCUGCUGCUCGGGGCCCUCCCUAUGCUUCUCCUCGCUCGUACGGGUCCAGGGUUAGCUGCUCAGGGGACAUGGUGUGUUCCGUGUGGCGCUGCCUUCGCGGCAGCCGCCGUUGUUGUGUCUCGUGUGUCGCGGCAGCCAAUGGGUCGGGAAGGUCUGAGACUGGAGGUCCCUGCUCGCCAACUCACAGACGGUUGUUCUCCGACCAGUUAAAAAUGAAUUUUUUGAAGGAGAAGGAGGUGCGAAAGGGGAUGGGAGCAACAAGUCUGAAUCGAAGAGAACUGAUAGCAUGUCCUGCCAUGAGGAAUUUGAAGCGGUCAGAAGACAUAAGAGCCGGGUCCUAAACUAUGUUAAGGCCAUGCUGAUGUGUAAGAGUUUGCGGGUGACAUCCUCCAUGGCAAUCAUAUUCCCUCCAACAUCCUUCAGGCCAUGGCGACCAGGUCAAAGAAGUCGAACCUGAAGAAGUGCAGGGAAGAAUUAUGGUUGCGUGUGGCUGGCUGGUUCAGGGGAAUUUCAGGGCGGGCGCGGCGGCACGGGUGCCGGAGCAGGCUCCUAGGCACUGGCGAUCUGUCGGACGGAUAUUAGAAACGAAGGUGAGGUUGUAUCUUGUUAGGUGGGUCUUCAUUGGCCGUCGAAAUCAUACCUGGCCAAUCUGAUGGGGCUGCCUACUGCUCCAGAACUCAUGCAGAUGAUGCAUAAUAAUCUUGUUGUAGCCUGGCCGAUCCGUGAAUAUUUGAUUGUAGGUGAAGGAGGAGCGGCCGCCCACUCGACGGUGCGGUGUAGGGCGGCGAGGGAGGCCGCCAGGGAGGCCUCAAUGCGGUGCAGGACGGCGAGGGAACCGUCCAGCGAGGCGACGAUGCGAUGCAGGGAUCCAGGCCGCCGUGCAGGGAGGCGACAUGACUGCUGAGCUUCGUCUGGGGCGGUGGCGAGGAAAGGCAGGGAGUGGGGCCAGGGGCACGAUUAGGUCCGAUUUCCUUUUUUUGCGAGUUGGUUAGAUGGUUAGAUUAGCGUGAUUUGAGGGGCUGCGGAUGCGGGACGGAGAGUUUCAUAUUUUCCUCUUGUGGAGUAUGGUCAGUCUAUUGAAACUGCUAAGCGCACACCAGAUCUUGAAUAAAUUAAUGAUGACUGUUGGAUUGGGUCGUGUGGGCUUCAUCCUGUGGUGCUGAUGUGUCUGUGUACGUUUUGCGGGGUGCACGUAACAAAGUUCUUGUUUGAUUGUUUAA